UACAGAGGUCCCAAGCGUUGUUCGGAUUCACUGGGCGUAAAGGGUGCGUAGGCGGUCGGGUAAGUCUGAUGUGAAAUCUCACAGCUUAACUGUGAAACUGCAUUGGAUACUAUCCGGCUCGAGGAAUGGAGGGGAGACUGGAAUACUUGGUGUAGCAGUGAAAUGCGUAGAUAUCAAGUGGAACACCAGUGGCGAAGGCGGUUUCCUGGACAGUUACUGACGCUCAGGCACGAAAGCAUGGGGAGCAAAAGGG
rnacentral:rRNA from 1 species